UCAGAAAUUUCCAAAUGCUGAUCCUUUGUCCCUUAAACUUCUUGAAAGAUUACUUGCUUUUGACCCCAAGGACCGACCCACUGCUGAGGAGGCACUAGCUGAUCCUUAUUUUAAGGGUCUGGCUAAAUCUGAAAGGGAACCAUCAUGCAAGUCAAUUUCAAAAAUGGAGUUCGAAUUUGAGAGGCGAAGAGUGACGAAGGAGGAUCUCAGGGAAUUAAUAUUCCGGGAGAUACUAGAAUAUCAUCCUCAGCUGAGGAAGGAUUACUUGAAUGGUGUAGAAAGGACUAAUUUUCUGUAUCCGAGUGCUGUUGAUCAAUUCAGGAAACAGUUCGCUCACUUGGAAGAGAACGGUGGUAAUGGCGUUCCAGUGGUUCCGAUGGACAGGAAGCAUGUCUCUCUUCCAAGGUCUACAGUUGUACAUUCAAAUCCAAACCCUUUGAAAGAACAGCCUAUUGUUGCCAAUAUGAGAGACCGACAAAAUGGUGAAGAGUCUUGCAGUAGAAACUGCAGAGAUUCUGAAGGCCUUGCAAGUAGUCUAACAAGAACCCUACAGGCUCAGCCAAGAAAUGCUUUAGCAGCCAAACCAGGAAAAGUUGUUGG
rnacentral:misc_RNA from 1 species